GUCCUCAGGAUGCCCUAUUCAAAUGUCUUCAGUUAGGUACAGCUAAAGGGGUCUGCUCUCAGGGGAGCUGGAGGGCAAAAAGGAAGCUGUUGGCCAUUUUGUAGCACAUACAAGACUCUCCCAGUGACUCAAACACUAAUAUUGAUGCUGCUGUGAAGGGAGUGCACAGAUAUGAUUCAAGACCCUAAUCAGUUGACUUUGGUUUAAUCAGGAUGGAGAUUAUCCAGGGGAGUGGCACAGCCUGGAUUUCAUCUUGUCAGAUUCUGGAAUUUCAGCACUGACAAGUGUAUUCCUAUCCUGUUCCUGUGGAGUGUUUUCCAUAGUCUUGGCUGCUGCCUUUCUUCAUGGAGAUGAGGGCUAGCUGUGCCCCAAAGAUGAGGAGCGUCCCUACCGCCAGCUCUGCUUGCUGGCAUGUUCACGUCACAUCGCCUUCAAUAUCUACCUUCUGCUGCAGGUUUUACACCACCAUUUCAAUCUUGAACAGGUGAAUUAACCAACUUUUAUAUGAAGCAUCCACCACAUAAACCUGCUCUAUGUUUUCACUUAAGCCUCACCAAAAUAUUCUGAUGCCUUUCUCAUCUUGAAGAGCAAGACAGCAUGGCAGUUGUGAAAACAGAUUCCAUCAUAAAACAAACCAAUGAACAAACA